UACGUAGGUGGCAAGCGUUGUCCGGAUUUAUUGGGUUUAAAGGGUGCGUAGGCGGUUUUCUAAGUCAGCAGUGAAAUACGGCAGCUCAACUGUCGAGGUGCUGUUGGUACUGGGGAACUUGAGUACUGAUGAGGUAGGCGGAAUGGACGGUGUAGCGGUGAAAUGCUUAGAGAUCGUCCAGAACACCGAUAGCGAAGGCAGCUUACUAAGGAGUAACUGACGCUGAGGCACGAAAGUGUGGGGAUCAAACAGG
rnacentral:rRNA from 1 species